UAAGACGUGGUUCGGAACCAUCCCACGUAAAAAAACUAAGGAGAG
rnacentral:ncRNA from 2 species